UGCAGGGUAUAGACCCGAAACCCGGUGAUCUAGCCAUGGGCAGGUUGAAGGUUGGGUAACACUAACUGGAGGACCGAACCGACUAAUGUUGAAAAAUUAGCGGAUGACUUGUGGCUGGGGGUGAAAGGCCAAUCAAACCGGAGAUAGCUGGUUCUCCCCGAAAGCUAUUUAGGUAGCGCCUCGUGAACUCAUCUUCGGGGGUAGAGCACUGUUUCGGCUAGGGGGUCAUCCCGACUUACCAACCCGAUGCAAACUACGAAUACCGAAGAAUGUUAUCACGGGAGACACACGGCGGGUGCUAACGUCCGUCGUGAAGAGGGAAACAACCCAGACCGCCAGCUAAGGUCCCAAAGUCAUGGUUAAGUGGGAAACGAUGUGGGAAGGCACAGACAGCCAGGAUGUUGGCUUAGAAGCAGCCAUCAUUUAAAGAAAGCGUAAUAGCUCACUGGUCGAGUCGGCCUGCGCGGAAGAUGUAACGGGGCUAAACCAUGCACCGAAGCUGCGGCAGCGACACUAUGUGUUGUUGGGUAGGGGAGCGUUCUGUAAGCCUGCGAAGGUGACCUGUGAGGGUUGCUGGAGGUA
rnacentral:rRNA from 1 species